rnacentral:rRNA from 1 species
AUGCGGAAAGCUAAGAGAGGCGGUGAUCAUCUCACUAGAAGCUUUCCUAAGAGUAGAAAAGCUUCCAAGAAUGAAUCAUUGGUCUCAAUUGCCUUAAUGUUUUAUUUCCUUCAACCAGGUCGUUUCCUUGGGGACUGUGAUCAAGGUGUUCGGUCCAGGCUUAGUGAUGGGCUAAUAUCAUAUUUGUCUAGAAGUGUCGCCUCUAUUACUUUGUGCAAUGGAGACACAGUCUUAUUUUCAUGCUCGGGCAUAGCUAUGGAACGCCAGGGGCGCUACCAUACAAGGUUUCUGACUUCUGCAAGUUUGGUUAGAGCUCUCAAUGGUACGAAUAAAGACCAUGAUGACUUGAAGAUUGAAGUGCGCCAUGAAGGCAAUGAAGUUUAUAUGGGGGGAUGGCUGAAUUUGAUUUAG